rnacentral:rRNA from 1 species
AUUGAACGCUGGCGGCAUGCCUUACACAUGCAAGUCGAACGGCAGCACGGGGGCAACCCUGGUGGCGAGUGGCGAACGGGUGAGUAAUGCAUCGGAACGUGCCCAGUAGUGGGGGAUAACCAGUCGAAAGAUUGGCUAAUACCGCAUACGACCUACGGGUGAAAGCGGGGGACCGUAAGGCCUCGCGCUAUUGGAGCGGCCGAUGUCUGAUUAGCUAGUUGGCGGGGUAAGAGCCCACCAAGGCGACGAUCAGUAGCUGGUCUGAGAGGACGACCAGCCACACUGGGACUGAGACACGGCCCAGACUCCUACGGGAGGCAGCAGUGGGGAAUUUUGGACAAUGGGCGCAAGCCUGAUCCAGCCAUGCCGCGUGCGGGAAGAAGGCCUUCGGGUUGUAAACCGCUUUUGGCAGGAACGAAACGGCGACCUCUAAUACGGGUCGUUAAUGACGGUACCUGCAGAAUAAGCACCGGCUAACUACGUGCCAGCAGCCGCGGUAACAC